UAAGCAACCUCACACGGCCUCGGGA
rnacentral:piRNA from 1 species